UACGGAGAUGGCAAGCGUUGUUCGGAUUUACUGGGCAUAAAGCGCACGUAGGCGGAGUCAUAAGUCGGUUGUGAAAUCCCGGGGCUCAACCCCGGAACAGCGGCCGAUACUGUGAUUCUGGAGCACGAAAGGGGAGAGUGGAACUUCUGGUGGAGCGGUGAAAUGCGUAGAUAUCAGAAGGAACACCGGUGGCGAAAGCGACUCUCUGGUUCGUUGCUGACGCUGAGGUGCGAAAGCUAGGGGAGCAAACGGGAUUAGAUACCCCGGUAGUCCUAGCCGUAAACGAUGGGCACUAAGUAGGGGGGGUUCUGACGCCUUCCCUGCCGGAGCUAAUGUAUUAAGUGCCCCGCCUGGGGAGUAUGCUCGCAAGGGUA
rnacentral:rRNA from 1 species